rnacentral:lncRNA from 1 species
UAUAUAUCCACCAACCAAAAAGACCGUUCUGCCCCUCACCAACUCAACAUCCCAGCUGGAGUAUCGGUACCAGCCCGAUGUCGUACCGGUACUCAGCAUCAAUUAUCGCAACCCAAGAGCAGUAGUUCGAAAAAUACAUUGGAGUACCGAUACUCCCCUGCAUGGUACCGAUACUCAAUACUGAAACCUGCACUUUGCAGACUUCAAUAUCAAACUCUGCUCUCGCGUCUCACUAAUCCGUUUUGCGUCCAUUUCGUACCAAAACGACUCCGACUUGUCCCGACACUCUCUAGAUGUGUCGCCAAGCCUCAGAUGCUA